CAAAACUAAAGCUAAGAGUAGAGUUGAUCUUUCUUUAAAUGAAAUACAAGAUAAAAAUAUGAUUUUCAUGAUUGAAGCAAUUUACUAAGAAAAUGAGAUAUCUAGUCCAAAGUCAGUUGUACCAACAAUUGAUCUUGAUGACCUCAAUGUUCUCGUUAAUAAGAGUCAUUAUAGAUGAAGAGGAAGAGUAUAAUUUGGCAUAACCUAUGGAGGAAGAAGAAGAGAAGGAGGAGUUCGAAGAUGGGC
rnacentral:lncRNA from 1 species